rnacentral:rRNA from 1 species
GAUGAACGCUGGCGGCGUGCCUAAUACAUGCAAGUCGAGCGCAGCGGGAGCGGGUGAGGAACAGGUGGAAAACCUGCUAUAAGACUGGGAUAACUUCGGGAAACCGGGGGUAAACGGGCUACUUAUGGCUGGCUCCACGCUGCAGUAGCUAGUUGGUAAGGUAACGGCGUACCAAGGCCACGAUGCAUAGCCGACCUGAGAGGGUGAUCGGCAACACUGGGACUUAGACACGGUCCAGACUCCUACGGGAGGCAGCAGUAGGGAAUCUUCCGCAAUUGGCGAAAGCCUGACGGAGCAACGCCGCGGGAGUGAUGAAGGUUUUCGGAUCGUAAAACUCUGUUAUUAGUGAAGCGGUACCUAAUCAGAAAGCCACGGCUAACUACGUGCCAGCAGCCGCGGUAAUUC